GCUGUGAUUAUGCCCAUUUUACAGAUAAAGACACUGAGGACCAAGGUCACAUGACUAGCAAUUAGUGAUGGUGGCAUUUAAAUUUAGACAGUGUGACUCCACAGUAACUUUCUACCUACCAUACUGUACACAGUUGGCACUUUUCACUGUGGCUAGUUCAGACUUUCUUAGAAGUUUUUUGGUAAACUUUAUAAAAUUAUUUUAACACAUUAAAAAAAAUUUCUAUCAGUGUCAGAAACUUCACACAGUACCACUUCCUCUUUCACUUUGAAACUCCCAACCCGACAAGGAAGCAUACAGAUGGCUUCGAAGCCACAGGCCAGGGUUCUAGCAGUAACAUAUCUCCAGCCCCAUCUGGAACUAAGAUGCGUGUGGACACAUUUUGGGGGUGAGUGGGUAGCAUAGGGAGGAAACGAGGAAGUGAAGCAGCUGUGACCUGGGCUGUCACAGUCCUGGGUGGACACUUCAUCUAUCAUUUACAGAGAGUAAGUGGUGGUAUCAGAGUUGAAAGACACUUUUUUAAGAAAGAUGAAGGUGUGGGUGACGGGGGUGCUGUUGGUGUGAGAGGCACGACAUUGAGAACGCUCCUUGAAAAGGAUCUAUCAUAUAGAGGAACCGAGACCACGUACAGGAGAAUCAGUGUGAGAAGGAUGGCAAAUCUGGGACGCACUGAAGAGCAUAUGCUUCUACAUCUUAAAGAAAAGGAACAGCCAUGAUGCUGUCUUGUGUGUGAUGGGACCAUCAUCACCAACUUAUUCUUCUCAGUCAGUCCCAGGAUCGUUCCACACACGCCCCUCAGUGGGCAUCCUCUACUCAAAGGACCACGCGUCAGCUCUGAAGAGGACAAGCAGAGUCUCCCUAGAGCGCUCCCAUUGGAUGCCCCCUGCAGCUGCUUUAUAAACAGCAGUCGGAGACGGCAGCACCCCUGAAAGGUACCUAUGGUUAUCACCAUGCUGGGACCCUGGCGCAUCUCACUCUAGACCCAUUUUCAGAGACACGUGCACCAAAAGCCACUGAGCCCACCUCUGCCAAUCCAAGUGCACUUGGCUCCCUAUCUAACAAAAGUACAGAGCCUUAGUCAACCUUGCCUAGCGUCUGCAGGGAGCACUUUGUCCAUGAGCGAGCAGAAGACAAGAUUUUGACUUCCCGUCACCUCUCAAGUUGGUCCUCACCUUGCUCCUGUUUAAGAUGAUGUCAGUCCCUGUUCCCUCAGGUAGCCAGGAGGCGGCUCAGGGUGUGCAAAGGCAUCAGCCACAGCAAAUAGCCUUGUACCUUUGAGCCAGAACCCAGGCUGGUCCGGAUUAGCGCCUUGGAAGUUUGGCAAUGAAUUGUAAAGAAAGUGUUCACCAGAGCUGAACGGCACAAACACAGAUCUGCGUGGUCUGGGAGUCCCCAUCUGGGGAGCCAGCGUUUCCAGGUUCAGAUUCAGCAAGAAAUAUGCUUCGGCAGGCUGGCCUGGUCAUGUGCGGCUGUGUAGCUCUUCCAAGAAAACCCUGCGUCCCGGAUCUAGAGGUCCUGAAAGUCUGCAGAUGACUACCCGUGGGUCCCGGCUUGUUCCAGCCUCUGCAGCUGGAAGGAGGGCUUUGCAAGUUGACUGCCAGUCACAAAGGAGGACGUGCCGCCUGUGAGACCUGCGCCAACAUGCCUGGCCAAGCGCUCUGGAAGUGGUUUUAGCUGUGAGUGUCCUUAAUAUCAUAGCUAAUACCUGUUCACUAUAGAAACUCUGGGAAAUACUUAUAAAGUAAUAAUACAAACGUGUGUGGGUGUAUCUCACCCAUAAAUCCUUCUCCCGUUGUUAACUACUGCAUUUGGCCCUUGCAUAACACAGGUUUGAACUGCACAGGUCUACUUAUUAAGUAGGGUUUGGUUUUUUUGAGAACUACAGUACCUGUAUUUUCAUGGUACAGAUGUGUAAAUUAACUAGGCGCGGGGGAAAGUUUGUGUUCAACUGGGGAUUCUUUUGCUAUUUCAACAUCCUGCCCUUGGGUGAGUCAUUUAACAAUUCCUUUGUUUUGGAGGCGGAGAGAGAGUCGUGCUCAGAUUUCCAGCUGCACAGAGUGGGGAGGGCGGAGGGGCCCUGACCCUGACACCGUUCAAGGAUCACCUGUAUUAACAAACCAUGUGCCUCCUUCCAGAUCCUUCCGAAUUUCUGAGGGUUUAUUUACAUAUGCAUUUCUUCGUUCACUUUACAUACAAUAAUACAACAAACUCUCAUGGACCCACAACUAAGGUUGUUGGUCAGAACCUUCGGCCCUUCCCAAAUGCAUUUCUUUUGCUUUCCCCUCCAGAUGUCACAGCUGCCUUGGAUUUUAUAUUCGUCAGCUCCUUGCUUGGCUUUACAGUUUGGCCACGUACAAAUACGAUUUUCACCCUUAAUAUAAGUGAAGCCCAUUCUGCUCUUCUGGGACUUCCCUUUUCUGGCCAAUUGUCAGUUUUCUCUAUUCAAUCUCAUUUGAAUGGGUAACUAAAAUUAAUUACUUCUCGCUUCUUGAGUAGCGUUUUGUUUUACGAAGAUACCAGUUCAUUUUUCCAUUCUGUUAGGGAUGGGCAUUUGGGUUAUUUCAAGCAACCCUGCUAUGGAACUUGUGUACAUCUGUUCUGGUUCAUACACACAAUAGCUUCUCCACGGGACAGCUUCCAGAGCGAAACGGCUGCUUCGAAAGAUUUAUGCCAACUGAGCAAUGCCGAACUGUUUUCCAAAAUGGGUAUAUUCUUCAUGGCUGAGAGUUCCUAUCGCUCCAUGACCUAGACAACACUUGGUAUUGUCAGAGUUUUGGGAAUUUUUUUUUUCAUUUUAGCUAAUUUUGCUUUUGCUUUACAUUUCCUGAUUAUUGUGAUUAAGCGUAUUUCCAUCUGUUUAUUGGCAUUAUUAUUCCUAACCUGUAAAAUGCCUAUUCGUGUUGUUUGUUCAUUUUUUAAUCAUGUUUAUGGAUUUAUAGGACUUUUUUAUAGAUCCAAUUCUCUCUCUCUAUGUAUCUCUGUAUCUAUGCAACUAAGUAUCUAAAACUGUGCUUUCAAAUCUGACUUCUUUUAACAAGAAUAAUAAUCUACAUUGCAUAAAGCCUUAUGGUUUUAUAAAUUGGACCAAUUGCAAGGGUCUUAAGUCACAAAUAUUUUUAUCCCGUUUACUCUGAUUUUAUAAAGGACAAAACUAUACCCCAUAUCAGACAAAUAAUGAUUUAUCACGUGGAAAAGAAACUCUCCACCAUUGUCGUUAUUCACGUUACUACUUGGGAGAUUAGAACGAUGAAUUUUGCUUCUGGAUAAUUUUUUUUCCAUCAUUACAUUUCAGAGGGGAAAGAAAAGUUGAAAACAACCCCCCCUCCACGGUCACUUUUUAAAUGUAUCUCAGAGUCAUAUGCUCUCUAGGGCGCAUUCUCCCCUCGUUUGGCUUAGGAAAACUGAGAAAAACAUAAGAUGAGCCUGCGGCUGGAUGCUGUAUGGGUAAGUCCUGAAAUUCACUCAGCAUCUUUUAACUAAGCUCGUGCUGACCACCGGGCCGAAGGGGCUUUCCCAGGAUGGUCCAUAUCCUCUCCGUAGAGCACCUGGGUGCCGGGCACCAGACCCCGACAGUAAACGAGAAAGGUCACUGCAUCCUAGCACCUGCCCUCCAGGACUUGCAGUUCAGUUAGAAAGACAAAUACAUGGAAGAGUGAAAGAUGUGAGCAACGCUGCUUGAAAGCAAUGGGAGGUUGCCACGAUUUUAAUUGUUGGACUGAAACUGAAGAUGAUGGAGGAUCAAAGGAAGAAAUGUGUGCUCUGCUCUUGGCUCCACCUGAAGGUAAGCCUGUUUGCUCUGCAUUUCCCUUUCCCCGAAACUCUGUUCCCACCAGGCCCCCUGGGUCAGAUGCAGGGUGGCCUGGGUCACGCUCUCCCAUCACUUCCAGGCGCAUGGUGUGGUCUCGGUCGGCCCACCGUCCACUGGGGCCCUCCCCAGCUCUCUGCAGUGGAUGAACAGAGGCGAGGUGCCCACCAUCUCUCUCAGAGACUUCCACUUUCGCUCAGCCCCAGCUCAGCACUCACAAGAUUUAGAAGGAACUGGAAAUGUCACUCACCAGAAAAAACACUGGGGCCCCUUCCUGGACCACAUCAUGGGUCAGUGUCUUCCUAUUUCUCUAAGCAAGGGCUGCCCACCCCCUGAAGUUGCAUCUUAAUAAAAGCCUCCUGAAAAUCGAUCUAGGCAAUCAGUCAUGAGGAAAUACUUGGGUUCCAGUCCCAAGUGACCUUGACAUUCACACCCUUUCCGUGAUGACCUACUCUAGUGGUUCUCAACUAGGAAAGAUGUCUCUUCCCAGACAUUCAGUAACGUCUAGAGAUAUUUUUGGUUAUCACAACUGGUGUUGGGAGGUGGGGUACUACCAUCACCUAGUGGACAGAGGCUGAAGAUGCUGCUAACAUCCUGUAAUGCGCAGGGGGCCCCAUCACUAAGGAUUAACCGGCCCAGAAUAUCCAUAGCGUCCAGGCUGAGAAACCCUGACCUACUCCUCAUGAGCCCAGGCUGGAAGAACCACAAGGCAUUGAUUCCCUGACAGGACUCCUAGGUCCGUACAUCUUCUUCCUAGAUGUGAGCUUCUUUGGUUAUUGUUCAGCCAGUUCCUACAGUCACACCUGGAGGCAGGAUGCUGGAGAGGGGACCAGAGGUCCCAUGGCUGAGGCAGUCACAAUCUGCCCUCAGAGGACUCGGCUUGUGAUCUGAAUUCAACAUGACACUCAUGAAAGGUGUUCUGUCUGCAGACCAACCUCUUGGGGUGACAAACUUGUAAAUGGUGUGGGUAACGACGAGGGUUCCUCUACAUUUUAUUAUGUAAUUAUGAGUUUUUCAUGAAAUAAUGCUAAAUAAUAUCAUCUACUUGUAGU